rnacentral:rRNA from 1 species
GACGAACUGUCCUAACGUUGUUCGGAAUCACUGGGCUUAAAGCGUGUGUAGGCGGAUCGGUAAGUACCUUGUGAAAUCCCACAGCUUAACUGUGGAACUGCUUGGUAUACUGCCAGUCUUGAGCCACUUAGGGGCUACCGGAACAAAUGGUGGAGCGGUGAAAUGCGUAGAUAUCAUUUGGAACGCCAAUGGUGAAAACAGGUAGCUGGGAGUGUGCUGACGCUGAGACACGAAAGCCAGGGGAGCAAACGGG